UUGUAUAUUAAAUAUUAUAUACUCCUAUAACAAGAUUUUACUUGAAAAGACCUGCUAUGUAUAAAUACGUCCAUCCAGCUUCCCAGGCCGACAGGAGCACAAAUCCCAUCAAAAGAUACUGCUGUUGAUCUAGCUAGCCGCAUACACCCUUCGACAGCCCUCCAAAACUCCUCUCCUCUCUCAAAUCUUCAAGCUAUCUCCACAAGAUGUCGGAGGAAAGCCACGUAACUCCACUAGCACCGCCACAAAUUUACCGGAGAAGUGAUGAAGAAUGGGGGGCUACGGCUACCACAAAACCAAAAGUCAUUCAUCACAAGCACGGAAGAAGCAGCAAAUGUUUCGUCUACCUCUUACUGUUUCUCGUCCUACUAAGCAUAGCUUCUUUAGCCUUCGGAUUAGUAGUUCUGCGCGAAUCAACGCCCCUAAGCUUAAGCUGGAGCUGGUGGAGAUAAAGAAUCUCAAGUACACAGCUCCAGAUUUUGCUUCACUGAACAUGACUAUGGUUGCACAAGUGAAGAUUUAUAAUCAGAACUUCGGUGGAUUCACGUUUCACAACGGCAGCACGAGCGUGGUGUAUGGGAACACCACUCUCGGGAUGACGUAUUGUAAAAGCGGGCUUGUUAGGGGCAGAAACUCCGAGAGAAUGACCGUUGCUGUACAGGUAAAAGCCAAUAAUGGUUUAGCUGAGAACAAGAAUUUUAGCAGUGAUAUGGGCUCGGGGUUGGUGAAAUUGAGCAGCUAUGCUAAUCUUAGGGGUGAAAUUCGUGUGUUGAAGCAUUUUACUAGGCGUAGAACUUCAUUCAUGAACUGUACCAUGAGUCUUAACUUGACGAGCCAAGCAGUCCAGGAUCUGAGAUGCAUGUAAUCUUCACGGGACGGUUCUCUCUUCUUUUUUUUCCCCCUUAUUUCUUGUACAUGCUCUAAAACGAGUGAGUAGAGUAUCCAAAUAGAGAUUCAAUCUGUACAAUUUUUUAGUAUAAUGGUGGUGAAAGCUGCUUUGGUUUGACGUGUAAUGCAACAUUAAUUGCUCUAUAAUGAAGCGGGAUAAUGACACAAAAGUUUACCCGGUUCUUUUUGAGUGCAUUCUUGAUGCACCUGGUCCCAUGAUAAUGGGGUUUUUCUUGUUCUUCCAAGUCGUUUCUCUUUGUUUUCUGCCCUCUCUAGCUUCCAAGUUGUUCUCUUUACUUUGAAAGUCGGUCAAAAUCCAAUUACGGCACGAGGCGUCCUGAAAAUUCAAGUCAAGGACAAUUAGACUAAAUCAAGACACGAAUUCGAUAGAUUCUUUAACUAAAUAUGACCAUGUUUGAAGCCUGAUUGCUAGCUUUAUCGCUCAGAAAAAAAAAAAAAAAAAACUUGCCGUAAAGUGUCAAAAUGGUCUUUGGGAUAUACAAACCAUAAAACUCGGGACUUGUUAAAAGCUAGCUGCUCCUAAAUUUUGGGAAAGGUAAGUAACAAUUCUUUGUUACAAGAAUCUUGCGUCGAGAAAUUAUGGAAGUACUCGAGUCCGCUAAACUUAGAUUUGGUUUGGAUAGGCAAAACUUUCUAGGUAUUGGCGAGAUGUAAUAAGCAUUCUUGCCAGAACUGUAACUGAAUAUGUCUAUACACAAGUAAAAUGACGACACAUACUUGAACAUCCUCAGAAUAAAACGGAAUUUCUAGGCCAACGGCAAAGUAUAAAUUAUGGUACCUGGCUUGGCGGCUGAGCCCGGAUGUCACUAUCUAAUUUUGGCAAAUGCAUACCGG
rnacentral:lncRNA from 1 species